UGCAGGUGCCAAUUGCUUUGAUAUUUUGAUUUAUAAUCAAUGUAUAAUUAUCACUGAAGCUAAGCAGGGCUGAGCCUGGUCAGUACCUGGAUGGGAGACCUCCUGGGAAAACUAGGUUGCUGCUGGAA
rnacentral:rRNA from 1 species